AUCAGCGGUCAUGGAGAGUCUCCAUCCAGCUGGAUCACUGUCACAGGGGAACACACCACCACACCUCCACCUGGAUCCACCUCCAUCAUUCUUCCUCCAUCACUCUCUCCUCCUCCUCUCUCUGUGUUUUCAUUUGUUGUAUCAGUCUGUGUUGUGGUUCUACUGGUGUUACUGGUUCUGCUGGUGAGACGAUGUGUUCACAGGAAACCUGAAGCAGACCAAGAAGAAACUGGAGAAGAUGACAUCAUCACUCAUGUCAUAUAUACCAUUAUCAAAAAGUUAAACCAUCAACAACAGCCAAUCAGAGAACCUAGAUGGCAGUUUUAACUUCUUUUUUAAGAGAUUUAGGCAGAUGUUUUAAAAUGACUGCAUACAGAUCAGCUCAGGCCUGUGACUAAUAUGGCUGCUGAGUAUGUGACUUGAAUUUAGUAUGAAGGCAUGUGAGGGAUACUCAGAAGUGUAAAAUUUUUUGUAAAAGUGAAAAAAAAAGAUUUUCCUGAUCUGAUACCAUCCAAAUCUGAAAUCAUAAUAUUUGAGUUUAUAUCGUUCUUAUGUGUCUUCACUUUGUUUCAAAGCUGUCUAACUCUGUACUUACUGAGUGUUGUUCACUGUGAGCUGGACUGUGUGUUUGUGGUCUGUGGUUAACUGAAGCUAACAGCUCUGCAGUCGUCCAGCAUCCUGUUUCUGAUAGAAAGAAACACUUCAGCUGCAGGUGUUUCAACACAGAGCUGCUCAUUUUAAACACAGGAAGGAUCAUGUAGAUUUGGAAAAGCAUUUCUCUACACUGAACCUUUUACAUUUGAUUCACUCUUUUUCCUCUAUUUUAUAUUUCGUCAGCAUUUAAAAUCUCAUUUAUAUCAGCAUCUGUACCAUAAUUCUGACUCUCACUUCUACAGUUUUAUUAUUGUGAUAGUGAAUGACAUCCUCCAUGCUGACCAGAUCUCAGUUAUGAUUUUAGUUUAACUGUAGUCUAAAAUGUCUUCUCACUGCAGUGAGUCCUGGCUUGGCUAAUGACAGUGUUCAUGUAGUGGAAACAUGUUUGCUCUGUGCUCUGUGGUUAAAUGUGUCAGUCUGCAUUAAAAGAAGAUAGCAGCUUUGUGGUUGUCCACCCUCCUUUUUCACAGAAGCACCCACUCAGCUUAUUGUGGUCACUCGGAUUCUCAGCAAUGGUGUUAAAAAGAGAAAAAA